AUUUAAAGUCUAGCCUGCCCAAUGAAAUAAUUUAAAUGGCCGCAGUAUUUUGACUGUGCAAAGGUAGCAUAAUCAUUAGUUUUUUAAUUAAAAACUGGAAUGAAGGGUUGAACGAAAAAAUAACUGUCUCUAUGUAAAUUAUUUAGAAAUUUAUUUUUAAGUUAAAAAGCUUAAAUUUAUUUGAAAGACGAGAAGACCCUAUAGAGUUUUAUAAAUUUAAUAUUAAUUAAAGUAGUAGAAUUAUUAAAAUUUUUAAGUUAAAAUUUAUUUGAUUGGGGUGAUAAAAAAAUUUAAAUAACUUUUUAAAAAUAAUAACAUUUAUUUAUGAUUUAUUGAUCCAUUAAAAUGAUUAAAAGAUUAAAUUACCUUAGGGAUAACAGCGUAAUUUCUUUGAAGAGUUCUUAUCGAUAAAGAAGAUUGCGACCUCGAUGUUGGAUUAAAAUAUAUUUUUAAUGUAGAAGUUAAAAAAAUUAGGUCUGUUCGACCUUUAAAAUUUUACAUGAUCUGAGUUUAAACCGGUGUGAGCCAGGUUGGUUUCUAUCUUUAAAUUAAUAAAAUAUUUUAGUACGAAAGGACCAAAUAUUUAUAAUAAUUAU
rnacentral:rRNA from 1 species